UACAUGUGGGGCAAGCGUUGUUCGGAAUUACUGGGCAUAAAGGGUGCGUAGGCGGUUUGUUAAGUCACUGGUGAAAGUUUUCGGCCCAACCGGAAAAUUGCCUGUGAUACUGGCGAACUUGAGUGCGUGAGGGGUGGGGGGAACGAGCAGUGUAGCGGUGAAAUGCGUAGAUAUCGGGAGGAACACCGGUGGCGAAGGCGGGUCUCUGGGCCGAUACUGACGCUGAGGAGCGAAAGCGUGGGGAGCGAACAGG
rnacentral:rRNA from 1 species